CUAGAAGUAGAUUUCCUCCUCUGGAAGGACACAAUCUACUGCUUAUAUGUCUAUGUGUCUGUCUUUAGAGAGACAACUCGUUAUCACGCGAUUGAACGUGAAUCCACGGGUUCUUGUGAGUUCUCGCGAUUCCUGCUGUCCGUAAUCCGCCAUGAAAUUCGCCUCACAAAUGAAUCCGGUAAAAAUUAGAUUUCCUCCUCCUUUACUACUGUAGUAAAAUGAAAAGGUAAAGGUGUUUUUAUUGAGCCGAAUUAUCAAUAAAAUCAUGAUUUUGUUAACAGGUCUGGAUUUAUGUGCUGUCGAGUUAAUAUAUUAGAACAAGAGCACAGUAAAGUUAAAUCAGCUAAUUUUCCAAUGAGGUUCUGUUACUGAACGGAACUACACCAUGAUCUACUGAGGUUAGUACAUAUAGGGUCACAGACAUAGUACUAGACACCAAACAUCUUUUUAACUUUGACUCAUUUCUUUAGCAAAGAGACUAAACACAACUCACCUACUCUCUUCCAGCAGACGCUUGUUUGUAGUGAGACCUCAGGCCAGUCUAUUACGGACUACAGCGGGGUGCCGCAGCUCAAGGAAGAACAUUUAUGAUCAUUUCUUCAUCAUUUCCU